rnacentral:rRNA from 1 species
GACGAACGCUGGCGGCGUGCUUAACACAUGCCAGUCGAACGGAAAGGCCCUGCUUUUGUGGGGUGCUCGAGUGGCGAACGGGUGAGUAACACGUGAGUAACCUGCCCUUGACUUUGGGAUAACUUCAGGAAACUGGGGCUAAUACCGGAUAGGAGCUCCUGCUGCAUGGUGGGGGUUGGAAAGUUUCGGCGGUUGGGGAUGGACUCGCGGCUUAUCAGCUUGUUGGUGGGGUAGUGGCUUACCAAGGCUUUGACGGGUAGCCGGCCUGGGAGGGUGACCGGCCACAAUGGGACUGAGAUACGGCCCAGACGCCAACGGGAGGCAGCAGUGGGGAAUAUUGCACAAUGGGCGGAAGCCUGAUGCAGCAACGCCGCGUGCGGGAUGACGGCCUUCGGGUUGUAAACCGCUUUCGCCUGUGACGAAGCGUGAGUGACGGUAAUGGGUAAAGAAGCACCGGCUAACUACGUG